rnacentral:lncRNA from 1 species
AAAACUUGAAAACAAAUGGCUUAGGCAAAAUUAGGGUAUCCCGAUGGACUAUAAACAAAAGAAAAAUAGUCCAGGAAAAAUUAGGGAAGUCGAAAAACAAAAAAAAAAGCAGAAGAGGAAUCAAAAACAAAAAUCCUCAGCAAGAACAAAGUCGUGUGACUGCAAACAUAAAAAUAGGAAGGCAAGUGACUGUCACACCCAAAACCUUGUGGGUUCUCUUACUACCACUCCCAUCAUUCUAAGAGACGGACGUCUGUGUCAAACUAGUUGAACGUAGGACUGAAGGGUAUCAAGAAG